rnacentral:rRNA from 1 species
UACGUAGGGUGCAAGCGUUAAUCGGAAUUACUGGGCGUAAAGCGUGCGCAGGCGGGUGAUGUAAGACAGUUGUGAAAUCCCCGGGACUCAACCUGGGAACCUGCAUCUGUGACUGCAAUCGCGUGGAGUGCGGCAGAGGGGGAUGGAAUUGCCGGCGUGUAGCAGUGAAAUGCGUAGAAUAAUGCGGAGGAACACCGAUGGCGAAGGC